CCCUUAGAUGUUCUGGGCUGCACGCGUGCUACAAUGGCGCUUGCAACAAGAUUGCCAACCCGAAAGGGUGAGCGGAUCUUUGAAGUGACGUCGUGAUCGGGACAGUCGAUUGCAAUUAUUCGGCUCGAACGAGGAAUUCCUUGUAAUCGCGAUUCAUCAUAUCGCGCUGAAUACGUCCCUGCCCUUUGUACACACCGCCCGUCGCUCCUACCGAUUGAGCGAUCCGGUGAAUGUCUUGGACUGGUGUCCGCAAGCGUUUCGCUUCGGACGCUACGAAAUUUUGUAAACCUUAUCGCUUAGAGGAAGGAAAAGUCGUAACA
rnacentral:rRNA from 1 species